rnacentral:rRNA from 1 species
UACGGAGGGGGCGAGCGUUUGUCCGAAGUUACUGGGCGUAAAGCGCGUGUAGGCGGGUUGCCAAGUCCGCUGUGAAAGCCCGAGGCUCAACCUCGGAGGGUCGGUGGAUACUGGCAAUCUUGAAGGUGCUAGGGGGAGAUGGAAUUACCGGUGUAGCGGUGAAAUGCGUAGAGAUCGGUAGGAACACCAGUGGCGAAGGCGGUCUCCUGGGGCAUUCUUGACGCUGAGACGCGAAAGCUGGGGGAGCAAACAGG